UGGUUCCACCUAGAGUGGGAAUUUGUCCCAGUUCCACCAAUGAAUGACUCAUUUCCUGGACUUGUAAGUCAACAUAAAUCUCUGGUGUCCAUAAGGAAAAUGCAGUUGUUAGUAAUUAUAACUUCCAGUGGACUUAAGCACUUUCAGAUGCAUCCGAGAUAAUGCAAAGAGGACAUAAAUCGGAAGAGAACACAAGUGGAUGAUGGAGACAGAAGGAGUGAGCUCUGGACACCACCUUGAUGGCUUCCAAAAACUGGAAGGAAAGCCAGAGGGAAAUCUAGAGACAAUCUUGUUCAAUUCCUGCGAGAGAGAGAAAACAAGGAAUGUGUGGCCUGAUGAUCUGAGAGAAAAGAUAAUUGAGAAUUCCCACAAAAAGAAAAUUAGUCACGGUCUCUGGGGCUGCUGAUAAGCAGAAACCUCAAACCAAACAAGCAUCCAGAUUUUUAUUUCAAAACAAAUGUCGACCUCUGUGCAGCAAGCCCUUUGCAGGCUGCUGCUUCAAAAAUAGAACC